rnacentral:rRNA from 1 species
GACGGAAGGUGCAAGCGUUGCUCGGAAUCACUGGGCGUAAAGGGUGCGUAGGCGGCUUGGUAGGUCUGGUGUGAAAGCCCCGGGCUCAGCCCGGGAAGGGCACUAGAAACUGCCAAGCUAGAGUGCCGGAGGGGAGAGUGGAAUUCCUGGUGUAGCGGUGAAAUGCGUAGAGAUGUGGAGGAACACCGAUGGCGAAGGCAGCCUCCUGGGCCAACACUGACGCUCAUGCACGAAAGCGUGGGGAGCAAACAGG